GUUUUUAGAAAAACCGGAACAUUCGGUUCACACAAUCUCCUCGCCUUCCUCCAAAAAAAACAAAACCCAACCUUGAUCGGUUUUGCACUAACCAGACCCACCUGCCACAAUUUGCGGUGGUUUUGGACCGUCGUAGCCGGAGAGAAUCCCACUCGACGACUCUCGCUAGAGAAGCCGGAGAGAAUCUGAGUCAACGAAAAGAUAAAAGAGAGCUGAAGGGCCUUUCCAGCUCUGUAUUUAACUUGAUCUGGGUUACAUAGUCGGAGGAACAGUGAGUUGCAGUGUAGCUGGUUCAUAUUAGCUAUAUAUGUUCAGAGACAAUCUGCAGUGUGAGUUUGUGAGGAAUGUUCAAAAAUACCAACCAGGAAUCUCCUCUUCUUCGUGAGCCUUCAAUCGAAAAAUAUAAUCUAUACGUUAUGUGAUUGAGAGAAAGUGUCUUUUCUGUUAUAUGAAAGCAUUUAGAUACUGCAAAAUACAUACACUUUUCGAUUGAUGCCUCACGAAGAAGAGGAGAUUCGUCACAGUCUUCGGAAAUGUCGUGGGAGACAGUGUCUUGGCAAGUAUUGAUUCAGGGAAGAUGGUGGAUAUGGAAACAGACUGCAGUAACUUAUUGAAAAAGGAACAUUUUCAAGAACUGGGAAGCUUGUGCCUUUAGACAAGAAAUGGCAAAGAGUCUUUGGGAGGAAUUACUGGUAAGCCUCAAAAUCCCAUCUUUUAUUUUGUUUCCAAAAGAGGCAUGUAAAAUUACAAAUUUUAGCACUGUAAAAUUUGCAAGAUCAAGCUUGAUCUUAUAAAUUCAAAGCUUCUUCACUCUUUCCCCAAGAA